UACGUAGGUGACAAGCGUUGUCCGGAUUUACUGGGCGUAAAGAGCGCGCAGGCGGUCGAUCAAGUCGAGUGUGAAAGCCCCCGGCUCAACUGGGGAGGGUCAUUCGAUACUGAUCGACUCGAAGGCAGGAGAGGGUAGUGGAAUUCCCGGUGUAGUGGUGAAAUGCGUAGAUAUCGGGAGGAACACCAGUGGCGAAGGCGGGUCUCUGGACAGUUCCUGACGCUGAGGCACGAAGGUCAGGGGAGCAAACGGG
rnacentral:rRNA from 1 species